rnacentral:rRNA from 1 species
UGGGGAAUAUUGGACAAUGGGGGGAACCCUGAUCCAGCGAUGCCGCGUGUGUGAAGAAGGCCUGCGGGUUGUAAAGCACUUUUGUUAGGGAAGAAGCGAGGGGAGUGAAUAGCUUUCCGAGUUGACGGUACCUAAAGAAUCAGCACCGGCUAACUCUGUGCCAGCAGCCGCGGUAAUACAGAGGGUGCGAGCGUUAAUCGGAAUGACUGGGCGUAAAGGGCGAGUAGGCGGGUGUAUAAGUGAGGUGAUAAAGACAUGGGCUUAACCUAUGGGUGACACCUUAGACUGUAUAUCUGGAGACAAGGAGAGGGGAGUGGAAUUUCCGGAGGAGUGGUGAAAUACGUAGAUUUCGGAAGGAACACCGGAGGCGAAGGCGACUCUCUGGCCUUGUUCUGACGCUGAGGAGCGAAAGCGUGGGUAGCAAACAG